ACCAGUACCGUGAGGGAAAGGUGAAAAGCACCCCGACAAGGGGAGUGAAAGAGAACCUGAAACCGGAUGCCUACAAGCAGUCGGAGGGGCAUUAAGCCCUGACGGCGUACCUUUUGUAUAAUGGGUCAGCGAGUUAGUUUAUGUAGCAAGCAUAAGCCGAUAGGUGGAUGCGUAGCGAAAGCGAGUGUUAAUAGCGCGUUAAGUUACAUGAAUUAGACCCGAAACCGAGUGAUCUAGCCAUGAACAGGUUGAAGGUUGGGUAACACCAACUGGAGGACCGAACCCACUCCCGUUGAAAAGGUAGGGGAUGAUUUGUGGCUAGGGGUGAAAGGCCAAUCAAACUCGGAAAUAGCUGGUUCUCCGCGAAAACUAUUUAGGUAGUGCGGUAGGCGAACACCAUGAGGGGUAGAGCACUGAAAGAGCUAAGGGGGAGCGAUCCUUACUAAACUUUAUCAAACUCCGAAUACUCAUGAGUGAUACUUACCAGACAGACAGUAGGUGCUAAGGUCUAUUGUCGAGAGGGAAAGAGCCCAGACCGUCAACUAAGGUCCCUAAAUUAUGGCUAAGUGGUAAAGGAAGUGGGAUAUCCAAAACAGUCAGGAGGUUGGCUUAGAAGCAGCCAUCCUUUAAAGAAAGCGUAAUAGCUCACUGAUCUAAAUAAGACGUCCUGCGCCGAAGAUGUAACGGGGCUAAAGCCAUAUACCGAAGUUACGGGAUUGUAUUGCAAUAGAUACAAUCGGUAGCGGAGCGUUCUGUAGGCCUGCGAAGGUGAACCGUAAGGUUUGCUGGAGGUAUCAGAAGUGAGAAUGCUGACAUGAGUAGCGAAAAGAAGAGUGAGAGACUCUUCCGCUGAAAGUCCAAGGUUUCCUGCGUAAAGCUAAUCUGCGCAGGGUUAGUCGGCCCCUAAGGCGAGGCAGAGAUGCGUAGCUGAUGGGAACACGGUUAAUAUUCCGUGACCAGUUAGGAAGUGACGGAUACAGUAGUUUGUACAUGCUUAAUGGAUUGUGUGUGCAAGUGAUGUGUCCCGGGAAAUAGCCCUAACGAAGACCGUACCCGAAACCGACACAGGUGGACAGGUAGAGUAUACCAAAGCGCUUGAGAGAACUAUGUUGAAGGAACUAGGCAAAAUGCUUGUGUAACUUCGGGAUAAGCAAGCCCGGUUUUAAGGCAACUUAAGGCCGGGGGCACAUACUAGGGGGUAGCGACUGUUUAACAAAAACACAGGACUCUGCGAAAUUGAAAGAUGAAGUAUAGGGUCUGACGCCUGCCCGGUGCCGGAAGGUUAAGGAGAGAUGUGAGAGCAUUGAACUGAAGCCCCGGUAAACGGCGGCCGUAACUAUAACGGUCCUAAGGUAGCGAAAUUCCUUGUCGGGUAAGUUCCGACCUGCACGAAUGGCGUAACGACUUCCCCGCUGUCUCCAACAUAGGCUCAGCGAAAUUGAAUUCUGAGUUAAGAUGCUCAGUACCCGCGGUUAGACGGAAAGACCCCGUGAACCUUUACUAUAGCUUUGCAGUGGUAUUAGGUAAGACAUGUGUAGGAUAGGUGGGAUGCUAUGAAGGUAGGACGCUAGUUUUACUGGAGCAGACGUUGAAAUACCACCCUUGUGUUAUUUGAUAUCUAACCUACUUCCGUAAACCGGAAGAGGGACCCUGCAUGGUGGGUAGUUUGACUGGGGCGGUCGCCUCCCAAAGAGUAACGGAGGCGCGCGAAGGUUGGCUCAGAUUGGUCGGAAAUCAAUCGUUGAGUGCAAUGGCAUAAGCCAGCCUGACUGCGAGAGCGACGGUUCGAGCAGAGACGAAAGUCGGUCAUAGUGAUCCGGUGGUCCCGAGUGGAAGGGCCAUCGCUCAACGGAUAAAAGGUACUCCGGGGAUAACAGGCUGAUUCCGCCCAAGAGUUCACAUCGACGGCGGAGUUUGGCACCUCGAUGUCGGCUCAUCACAUCCUGGGGCUGGAGAAGGUCCCAAGGGUUCGGCUGUUCGCCGAUUAAAGUGGCACGCGAGCUGGGUUCAGAACGUCGUGAGACAGUUCGGUCCCUAUCUGUUGCGGGCGUAAGAGAUUUGAAGGGAGCUGUCCUUAGUACGAGAGGACCGGGAUGGAC
rnacentral:rRNA from 1 species